GACGAACGCUGGCGGCGUGCUUAACACAUGCAAGUCUACGAGAACGAGGUAGCAAUAUCUUUAGUAAAGUGGCGUACGGGUGCGUAACACGUAAGUAAUCUACCUUUGGGUUCGGAAUAACUUCGGGAAAUCGGAGCUAAUACCGGAUAAUGCAGCGGCACCGCAUGGUGAUGUUGUUAAAGUUUGUGUAAUGCCUAAAGAUGAACUUGCGUCUGAUUAGCUAGUUGGUGAGGUAAUGGCUCACCAAGGCUGCGAUCAGUAGCUGGUCUGAGAGGAUGAUCAGCCACACUGGAACUGAGACACGGUCCAGACUCCUACGGGAGGCAGCAGUGAGGAAUAUUGGGCAAUGCCCGAAAGGGUGACCCAGCAACGCCGCGUGGAGGAUGAAGGUCGUAAGAUUGUAAACUCCUGUUAGAGGGGAAGAAUAACUAAGUUUGGAGCUUAGUAUGACUGUACCCUCAGAGAAAGCCCCGGCUAACUACGUGCCAGCAGCCG
rnacentral:rRNA from 1 species